GUGAACGCUGGCGGUAGGCCUAACCCAUGCAAGUCGAACGGCAGCACCGUAAGAGCUUGCUCUUACGGGUGGCGAGUGGCGGACGGGUGCGGAAUACAUCGGAAUCUACUUUUUCGUGGGGGAUAACGUAGGGAAACUUACGCUAAUACCGCAUACGACCUACGGGUGAAAGCAGGGGAUCUUCGGACCUUGCGCGAUUGAAUGAGCCGAUGUCGGAUUAGCUAGUUGGCGGGGUAAAGGCCCAACAAGGCGACGAUCCGUAGCUGGUCUGAGAGGAUGAUCAGCCACACUGGAACUUGGACACGGUCCAGGCUCCUACGGGAGGCAGCAGUGGGGAAUAUUGGACAGUAGGCGCAAGCCUGAUCCAGCCAUACCGCGUGGGUGAAGAAGACCUUCGGGUUGUAAAGCCGGUUUGUGGGUAAAGAAAAGCAGCAGGUUAAGACCCCGCGGUACUGACGGUACCCAAUGAAGAAGCACCGGCUAACUUCGUG
rnacentral:rRNA from 1 species